rnacentral:rRNA from 1 species
CUUUCCUACGGGAGGCAGCAGUAGGGAAUUUUCGUCAAUGGGCGCAAGCCUGAACGAGCAAUGCCGCGUGAACGAGGAAGGUCUUCGGAUCGUAAAGUUCUGUUGACGGGGAAAAAAGACCGGGAAAGGAAAUGAUCACGGAGGAGAUAUUACCCGUCGAGGAAGUCACGGCUAACUACGUGCCAGCAGCCGCGGUAAUACGUAGGUGGCGAGCGUUGUCCGGAUUUAUUGGGCGUAAAGCGAGCGCAGGUGGUUUAUUAAGUCUGGUGUAAAAGGCAGUGGCUCAACCAUUGUAUGCAUUGGAA